rnacentral:rRNA from 1 species
ACUGGGCGUAAAAGCGCACGCAAGGCGGUUUGUUAAAGUCAAGAAUGUGAAAAUCCCCGGGCUCAAACCUGGGAAACUGCAUCUGAUACUGGCAAAGCUUGAGUCUCGUAGAGGGGGGUAGAAUUCCAGGUGUAGCGGUGAAAUGCGUAGAGAUCUGGAGGAAUACCGGUGGCGAAGGCGGCCCCCUGGACGAAGACUGACGCUCAGGUGCGAAAGCGUGGGGAGCAAACAGGAUUAGAUACCCUGGUAGUCCACGCCGUAAACGAUGUCGACUUGGAGGUUGUGCCCUUGAGGCGUGGCUUCCGGAGCUAACGCGUUAAGUCGACCGCCUGGGGAGU